GAUAUCGGAGUUACUGGGCGUAAGCGUGCGUAGGCGGGUCGGUAAGUGGGUGGUGAAAGCGCCGGGCUAAACCGGGCGAGGUCCAUUCAGACUGCCAACCUAGAGGCGGAUAGAGGGGUGCGGAAUUCCGGGUGUAGCGGUGAAAUGUGUAGAGAUCCGGAGGAACACCAGUGGUGCAAACGGCGCCCUGGGUCCGAACUGACGCUGAGGCACGAAAGCGUGGGGAGCGAACGGGAUUAGAGACCCCGGUAGUCCACGCCGUAAACGAUGUCAACUAGGUGUCCACUUGGCUACGGUCAAGGGGGUGCCGAAGCUAACGCAAUAAGUUGACCGCCUGGGGAGUACGGUCGCAAGGCUAAAACUCAAAGGAAUUGACGGGGCCCGCACAAGCAGCGGAGCGUGUGGUUUAAUUCGAGGCUACACGAAGAACCUUACCUGGGUUUGACAUCACGGUGGUAGGGAACUGAAAAGGGACCGACCUUCGGGAGCCGUGACAGGUGCUGCAUGGCUGUCCUCAGCUCGUGUCGUGAGAUGUUCGGUUAAGUCCGAAAACGAGCGCAACCCUCGGGUCUAGUUACAUGUGUCUAGACCGACUGCCCGGGAGAACCGGGAGGAAGGUGGGGAUGACGUCAAGUCAGCAUGGCCUUUAUAUCCAGGGCUACACACACGCUACAAUGGGCGGUACAACAGGUUGCGAAGCCGCGAGGUGGAGCCAAUCCCAUAAAGCCGUUCGUAGUUCGGAUUGCAGCUGCAACUCGCCUGCAUGAAGCCGGAGUUGCUAGUAACCGCAGUCAGCCAUACUGCGGUGAAUACGUUCUCGGGCCUUGUACACACCGCCCGUCACGUCAUGGGAGCUGGUCACGCCUGAAGUCGGUCAGUUAACCGCAAGAGACACCGCCGAAGCAGCUGGUGACUGGGACGAGUCGUACAAGUACUCG
rnacentral:rRNA from 1 species